rnacentral:rRNA from 1 species
AGCAAGUCGAACGAUGAAGGGAGCUUGCUCCUGGAUUAGUGGCGAACGGGUGAGUAACACGUGAGUAACCUGCCCUUGACUCUGGGAUAAGCCUGGGAAACUGGGUCUAAUACCGGAUAUGACCUUCCAUCGCAUGGUGGUUGGUGGAAAGCUUUUGUGGUUUUGGAUGGACUCGCGGCCUAUCAGCUUGUUGGUGGGGUAAUGGCCUACCAAGGCGACGACGGGUAGCCGGCCUGAGAGGGUGACCGGCCACACUGGGACUGAGACACGGCCCAGACUCCUACGGGAGGCAGCAGUGGGGAAUAUUGCACAAUGGGCGGAAGCCUGAUGCAGCGACGCCGCGUGAGGGAUGACGGCCUUCGGGUUGUAAACCUCUUUCAGUAGGGAAGAAGCGUAAGUGACGGUACCUGCAGAAGAAGCGCCGGCUAACUACGUGCCAGCAGCCGCGGUAAUACGUAGGGCGCAAGCGUUAUCCGGAAUUAUUGGGCGUAAAGAGCUCGUAGGCGGUUUGUCGCGUCUGCCGUGAAAGUCCGGGGCUCAACUCCGGAUCUGCGGUGGGUACGGGCAGACUAGAGUGAUGUAGGGGAGACUGGAAUUCCUGGUGUAGCGGUGAAAUGCGCAGAUAUCAGGAGGAACACCGAUGGCGAAGGCAGGUCUCUGGGCAUUAACUGACGCUGAGGAGCGAAAGCAUGGGGAGCGAACAGGAUUAGAUACCCUGGUAGUCCAUGCCGUAAACGUUGGGCACUAGGUGUGGGGGACAUUCCACGUUUUCCGCGCCGUAGCUAACGCAUUAAGUGCCCCGCCUGGGGAGUACGGCCGCAAGGCUAAAACUCAAAGGAAUUGACGGGGGCCCGCACAAGCGGCGGAGCAUGCGGAUUAAUUCGAUGCAACGCGAAGAACCUUACCAAGGCUUGACAUGAACCAGACCGGGCUGGAAACAGUUCUUCCCCUUUGGGGUUGGUUUACAGGUGGUGCAUGGUUGUCGUCAGCUCGUGUCGUGAGAUGUUGGGUUAAGUCCCGCAACGAGCGCAACCCUCGUUCCAUGUUGCCAGCGGGUAGUGCCGGGGACUCAU